UUUCUUGAGGAUUGACAGAUUGAGAGCUAUUUCUUGAUUCGGUGGAUGGUGGUGCAUGUCCAUUCUUAGUUGGUGGAGCGAUUUGUGUGGUUAAUUCCGAUAACGAACGAGACUCUAGCCUAUUAAAUAGGUGCGUGGUUCUCUGCACCUUGCACCAUUCAUAGAGGGACAAGCGGCUGCUAGCGGCACGAAACAGAGCAAUAACAGGUCUGUGAUACCCUAA
rnacentral:rRNA from 1 species